UACGGGGGGAGCAAGCGUUGUUCGGAUUUACUGGGCGUAAAGGGCGCGUAGGCGGUCAGCACAAGUCAGUUGUGAAAUCUCCGGGCUUAACUCGGAAAGGUCAACUGAUACUGUGCGACUAGAGUGCGGAAGGGGCAACUGGAAUUCUCGGUGUAGCGGUGAAAUGCGUAGAUAUCAGGAAGAACACCCGUGGCGAAGGCGGCUCUCUGGAACGCAACUGACGCUGAGACGCGAAAGCGUGGGGAGCAAACAGG
rnacentral:rRNA from 1 species